UUACAUCUCAGUGCCGCAUGACUCGGACUCCUUGGUGGUUGGGAAACUUGGAUAUUAGUGACAACGGUAAGCUGAGAAGGACUGAUUGAUUGUUGGCCCGUUUGCGGUACCCCAGGUGUUGUAGUUUGAAGCGGUGUACUUGGCGCCGAACGUGCUCCUAUGGACCCCGCAGACCUAAUAAAAUACAACAAUGUUUAUUAUCAUUCAUUAUCGAUCUUAGUUAUCUGUUAACGUUGAUUAGAAAUUUUCCUUUUUAUAUAAUGGUAUUAACGAUGCUUUUAUAUCGACGCGAAUGAGAUAACAUUUGUGAAAUAUUAAAAUGUCACUUUAAAUAAUGAUAAUAAUAAUGAUAAUAUAAUAAUAUUAUUAUUUUGAAUUGUUUUUAUUAUUAUUAUUAUUAUUAUUAUUAUUAUUAUUAUUAUUAUUAUUGUUGUUGUUAUUAUUAUUAUUGUUAGGAAAUAUAACGUUCGUUAUGAUUAUCUAUAUAUACGACAGAUUGAUUCGUUAACGUUGAAUUAGAAAAUGUUUAGAAAAUAUUAGCACGCGCAUUUUUAUCGAUCCAAUCGAAAUAACGUUAAUUAUUCGAUAUCGAUCGAAUUAUUUCUAUAAAUGCUUGAAUUUUUACCUUGCUCUCGUAAUUGUACCAGAUGAUAGGCAAAAAUCUAUCAAAGCUCGUGUUUCGAACUCCAUCAUUCUUAUUAUCAGGUCACAAGGAUCGUUAGAUUAAAAAAUUUAUUACGUUUUUAAAAGAAGGGGGGAAAAAAAAAGAGAAAAAAGAAAAUAAAAAAAAGAAGAAAAAAGUUAGAAGCUCCAAAUUCUCCUGUCAAAAAUUGUAUCUCAAACGUUGAUUGUCACCUAUCAACAAUCGACGCGAGAAUCUAAUUAUUUCUAAUGCAUAUAAGAAAGGAUAUAUCUCUCGUUUAUAUUAAAAUUUCGAGAUAUUUAUCAUCGUCAUUUAAUAAAAGCCACGUUCGUAUCGGCACUUUUUAAACAUCGUUCUUCUCGAUGAUCUAACUCUCGCCCCUAAUGUUUUCAUUACCAAACGCGCGAUAAAUAUGAAACUCAUUUUAUAGGUGAAAAGUGCGAGAAUAAGGAAAAAUAAGAGAUACGAUAAUAAUAUAUUAAAUAAUAAUUCUAACGACGAUCUCACCGAUCAACGGUGUUAGAUAAAUUUUGAUAAGAGAAAAAAGAAAAAAGGAAAAUGGAAAAAAAUCCGUAAUGAAUUAUAAUUACAGAUUUAAAGGAGAAAGAAGGAAAGAAAUGGAAGAAAAAAAAAAGAAAAGAAAAAAAAAGGAAAAACUAAUAUAUCGUAAAGAAUUAGAAUAAUAAAUCAUAAAGAAUUGGAAAUUAGAUAUGUUAAACGUAAAGAAUUAGAAACUAAACACUGCGAUUUUAUAAUUCAGCCUUCCGCGGACCAGCCGGGUUAUAAGACUGACUUGAUUUCGACUCGUAUGUCUUAUACAUACAUAGAGACAGAAAAAGAGAGAAAGAGAGAGAGAAAGAAAGAAAGAAAGAGAGAGAGAAAGAGAAAGAGACAGACAGACAAAAGAAAAAAAAAGAAAACAUCCACCACCUUUGUUCUCUCGACCUCUUGACCUUCUUAAUCAUUAAUCUCCUCUACGCACUCUUUUUAACUCCUACCCAACUUCUCAAGGUAGAACGAUAUCACUUGGCUUAUUCAGUUUGCGAUAUUAUAAAGUCAAUAGGGGGACAAAAAACAAAAAGAGAUAAAAAUAAAAAAAUUAGGAAAAUUCAUUCUCUCGAACAAUCGAAGAUUCAUUAUAAUAAAUUUUAAUAAUCUUCUUGUUUAUCUAUCAUAUACAAAUACAUUUCUUUUUCUCUUUUCGUCGAAUGCAAUUAUCAAUUUUAUACUAUCAUACAAAUUGUAACGACAAACAAAUUGUUACUCUUUCGUAUGAAGGAAAAAAUAAGAGUGAGAAAAAAAAGAAAGAUAAAAGGAUAAUAAAAACAAAAACAAAAAAAUAAAAGAUGUAAAAUAAAAAAAAAAAAAAAAAAAAAAAAAAAAAAAAGAAAAGAAAUAAUAAAAUAAGAUAAAUAAAAAGGAUGUAUGAAAUUUCAGUUGAGAAAUCGAUUUUAGUCGAUCGAUCGAAACCGAUAAAAUGAUCGAUCAAUUUAAAUAUCUACGAUCUCUGAACACACCCUAUGUAAUAAUGAUUAUUUAUACAUGCAUGCACACACACACACACACACACACACACACAUAUUUAUAAUAACUAAUACUUGUGAUUAUCUUAUAUCACAUGGGGGGUCACGGACAUAUCUAAAAAAUCAAUUGCAUUUCUCGUAUCGUUCCCUGUAAGUGUUAAUAAAACUCUACCUUCUUUUGCUUUACUUGUUUCUUACUUUUUCUGCCCCUUUUUUUCUUCCUUCGUCAUUGUCCACAACAUUUAUCUUACAUUAUUAAGAUACACCAGGUGUUCUUCUUUCUAUACUUUAUUCCGAAGGACAUUGAAUGACGUCAUGCACUAGAUACGCCCGAAUUAUCGACAAGUUUUAUCAAUUUUUAUGUAAUACAUGAUAUACGUAUAUAUAUAUGAAAAAUGGAGAGAGAGAGAGAGAGAGAGAGAGAGAGAGAGAAAGAGAGAGAGAAGAAGAAGAUAUAUACUCGUAUUAAGUAGAAAUACUUAGAUGAUAUGUUCAGUCUACGUUUGUGCAACGUUCGAGGCACAAUAACGUUGUUUAGAUUUUCUAUUCUUUUUUUUUUUUUCUUUUUUUCUUGUUUUUUUUUUUUUUGAAAAUAUACACUCUCUCUUUCUCUUGUUUCGUAUUAAAACAUCGUUGAAAUGCAACUAAAAAAAUGCGGUCGUUACUGUUUCGUUAGUAUGUAUUCGUGAAUGAUGAUAAAGCACGAUUAAAUUUAAAACCGUUUCCGCCCACAUUUUCAUAAUGAAAAAUAAAAACAACCAUGUGUUUCCAUUAUACAGUUAUAAUAGUGGAGUUAUAAAUCGAUGCAACUGACAACUGACUGAAAAAAAAAGUUUAUUAUAGACUUUUUUUAUAUAGAUUAAAAUCUAUUGUUACAAAUUAUGGGCCAAAAGUUUCUAGAUUUUUUUACAUUUUCAAAUAUUUUCAAAACAAAUUCCUGAAGAGUUUUCUUUCGAUACGUUUCAAGGAGAAAGAAAAAAUACAUUUUCUUUUAUUUCAAGGAUUGUGUUUACAUUGAUACACUGAAUGGACGACAGAUAAUCGAAAAUAUAAACAAAUCAAUCUUAUGAGUUGGCGGAGCUUCGGAAUAUCGAUCAUUCUUGAAAAGGUCGUAUUUGUCAAUAUAUGUCGAUAUUCUCCAUGAUAAAAAGUCAACGAGAUUUCUUUGAAAGAUUUACGAUCUAUUAACUUCUCACAUAUAUCGAAGAAUAUAUAUAUAUAUAUAUAUAUAUAUAUAUAUAUAUAUAUAUGUUUCUUUAAUUUAAAACAAGAUUAAAAGAAAAGAAAGAAAGAAGAGAGAAAACGUCAUUAGAAAAUGAAUUUGAAGAUUUGAAAAUGUCGACAAAAUUUCUAACUCUGUACGAAGCAUGAAUCUUACGCGGUCGGCUAAGCGUAUGCAUUAUUUUUAGAAUUCACGCUCUGCGUUUAACGCAUGCACGUGGAUACAGCGUUUGUACAACGUUAUGGAGAAGAAGAAUAAGAGGAAUAAGAAUAAGAAUAAGAAGAAAAAGAAAACGAUAAAGAGAAACAAGAAGAGGAAGAAGAAAAAGAAGAAGAAGAAGAAGAAGAAGGAAAAGAAGAAGAAACAGUAAAAUAUAAGAAAAAUAACAGAAAGGAGACGAAUUGGGUAUAUACCUACUUAUGUAUGCGUUGACUUAACGAUAAGAAAGAAUGAAUACGAAAUACGAUAUCCCGAAUCUUAUAUACUUAUUCAGAUUUAUUCCAAAAAGAAAAAAAGGUGAAAGAAAAAAAAAAAGAACGAAAAAAAAAACCAAUUAGCAUACGACCAAAAAAAGAGAAUUACCACGACAAUACAAUGGGGAGAAUCGAAUUUGACGCAACUACUUGUCGUCGUGCAAUAAACAAAUUUAUUCUGAUAUUGAUCGAUCGACCCUCCUUUUAAGAAGCGAAAGAAAGAAGAAAAAGGAAAAGAAAAAUAAAAGACAACGGCUUGAUUAUGCAUCGAGCGAGACUAUCUCAAUAUGCUAUCUAUCGGUUCAUUUCCAAAUACAGCACGUCCACAUCAAUCGAAUUGAUUAUGGAAUAGUACAUACGUCAGUGAUGAGAUGUUCUUCUGUUUUAUAAUCGUGCGCACGUAGAACAAAACGCGAUUCGUUUUUUUUUUUUAAUGAGCCUACGAAAUUGUCAAUCAAUGUAAGAAUCAACUAAGUUGAUUAUAUUUAUAUUGUUUAUAUUUACGAGUGUCGAGUAGCGGUCGACAAAAUGCAUGUCGAAUAGCAGUCGACAAUGUACAUGUUGCGUAGCAGUCGACAAUGUGCAUGUCGAGUAUCGGUCGACAAUGUGCAUGUCAAAUAUCGGUCGACAAAGUGCAUGUCGAGUAUCGGUCGACAAUGUGCAUGUCGAGUAGCGGUCGACAAUGUGCAUGUCGAAUAUCGGUCGACAAUGUGCAUGUCGAGUAUCGGUCGACAAUGUGCAUGUCGAGUAUCGGUCGACAAUGUGCAUGUCGAGUAGCGGUCGACAAUGUGCAUGUCGAGUAUCGGUCGACAAUGUGCAUGUCGAGUAUCGGUCGACAAUGUGCAUGUCGAGUAUCGGUCGACAAUGUGCAUGUCGCAUAGCGGUCGACAAUGUGCAUGUCGAGUAUCGGUCGACAAUGUGCAUGUCGAGUAUCGGUCGACAAUGUGCAUGUCGCGUAGCGGUCGACAAUGUACAUGUCGCGUAGCGGUCGACAACAUACAUGUCGCGUAGCGGUCGACAACAUACAUGUCGAGCCACACUCGACAAUCUUUGAUGAAUUACAUCGUAGACUCUUAGCACAUUGACAAAUUAUUUUCUAGACUUUUUUCUUUCUAAACUUUUUUCGUAUAUUUCUAAUAAUGCAUUAAUCCUUACCAAAAAAAAAAAAAAAAGAAAAAUAGAUUUUAAAAAUACUUUUAUUAAUUAAAGUAUAUAAUAUAGGGCGGAUCAAAAGCUCCUAAGUUAUUGUAAAAAAGAGAAAAAAAAAAAUCGACUACUCUUCUUUGAAACUUUUAUCAGACCUCGUAGUUACGUUUGUAUAAUAGAUAAUUUUAUAAUCUAAAAGAUAAAAAAAAUACAGAAAAUUUGCCUAACCAGUCUUGAAGAAGAGCGUAACUGAUUUUUAAAAUUGCUUAGAAAAUUUUUGCAUAACUUAUGAAAGCGUAGGAACUUGUAUUUUCUAAGAGAAAGGUGCUUCCAUAAACUUCUCGAUAGUUUGAUCUUAAAUUCGAACUUGUUCUCUCUCUUUCUCUCUCUCUCUCUUUCUCAUAUCAUCAGUAUAGUUUUUCAUUCUCUUUGCUUUUCCCAUUCUUUCAUUUUCUUACUUUUUCAAAUCAAGACCGUAAUACAUUAUGAACAAAUCGGAAGAUUUAGUUUAGCGAUCGACAUUUCAAUAUAUCGAUAGGAUUGGUCCGAUUUUUCAACGCUCUUCUUUCCAUUCAAUAAUAAUUAUUCUUAAUCAUCGAGAGAAAUGAGGCGAUCGACUUUAAAUUAAUCAGAGCAUAGACCGGUAUUUCCUGUUUUGCUAUUGUGCUUCCUUCUUUUUAAAGAGUGAAAAAAAAAUCAAAACAAAAAUAAAAGCAAAAGAUGACAAAAAGAAAUAAAUCGUAAACAGUAUUAAUAUUCAGUCGAUGAUUCGAUUCUAUUCCUUCCUGGAGAAAUUGUCUCUUAAAUAUUAGCUCACAUUCUCUACUAUAAUAAACGACAUGUGUAUAUAUGAAAUAUAUAUAUAUAUGUGUGUGUGUGUGUGUGUGUGUG